CUACGGGCCGCUGCAGUGGGGAAUAUUGGGCAAUGGGCGCAAGCCUGACCCAGCAACGCCGCGUGAGGGAAGAAGGUUUUCGGAUUGUAAACCUCUGUCCUUGGGGACGAAUAAAAUGACGGUACCCAAGGAGGAAGCUCCGGCUAACUACGUGCCAGCAGCCGCGGUAAUACGUAGGGAGCAAGCGUUGUCCGGAAUUACUGGGCGUAAAGGGUGCGUAGGCGGCAUAUUAAGUCAGGUGUGAAAUUUUCGGGCUCAACCCGAAACCUGCAUCUGAAACUGAUAAGCUUGAGUAUGAGAGAGGAAAGUGGAAUUCCUAGUGUAGCGGUGAAAUGCGUAGAUAUUAGGAGGAACACCAGUGGCGAAGGCGACUUUCUGGCUCAUCACUGACGCUGAGGCACGAAAGCGUGGGUAGCAAACAGGAUUAGAUACCCUCGUAGUC
rnacentral:rRNA from 1 species